rnacentral:tRNA from 1 species
GGGGGCGUAGCCUAGCACGGUUAUGGCGGCCGGCUCCAGACCGGUAGGUCCGGGGUUCAAAUCCCCGCGCCCCCACCA